ACUGGGGAAAAACAAGAAACAAAAUGCGUACUUUAGCGGGUGAGGUGGGGAAAGCCUUGUUUCCACAAUGAGUAAGACAGUCGAUCUCCAGCUCUCGUUCUGACCCAUCGCACCUGAGGUCUAGUCCACAUCCCACAGGGAGCCUCGGCCCUGCCGGUAACUCUCCGGACAGGCUGGCUGGCUGCUGCCGCUUUUGUGAAACCUGUGGUUACUUGUCUGUUUUCCUAUCAACUUUGGACAACACAUACCCAGCCCACAAGGUCAAUACUUCUGAGACUAAGAAAUCCCGGGUUACAGCAAUGCAAUAACAACUCGAGCUGGAUCAUCUCUACAUUGCAGCUUGCUGACAAUCAAGUCCAUUUGUACCAGGAGUGAUUUUCCUUUUUAUGAAAUAGACAAAGUAUAAAAUCAGGCACAAAGUCUUC